UACGUAGGGUGCAAGCGUUGUUCGGAAUUACUGGGCGUAAAGGGCGCGUAGGCGGCGUGACAAGUCACUUGUGAAAUCUCCGGGCUUAACUCGGAACGGUCAAGUGAUACUGUCGUGCUAGAGUACAGAAGGGGCAACUGGAAUUCUCGGUGUAGCGGUGAAAUGCGUAGAUAUCGAGAGGAACACCUGCGGCGAAGGCGGGUUGCUGGGCUGAUACUGACGCUGAGGCGCGAAAGCCAGGGGAGCGAACGGG
rnacentral:rRNA from 1 species